AUAAGACCACAGGAUCGCAUGAUCUGGUGGUAAAAACUCCGGUGGUAUAAGAUGGGCCCGCGUCUGAUUAGCUAGUUGGUGAGGUAACGGCUCUACCAAGGCAACGAUCAGUAGCCGGCUUGAGAGAGUGGACGGCCACAUUGGGACUGAGACACGGCCCAAACUCCUACGGGAGGCAGCAGUGGGGAAUAUUGCACAAUGGGGGGAACCCUGAUGCAGCGACGCCGCGUGAGUGAAGAAGUACCUCGGCAUGUAAAGCUCUAUCAGCAGGGAAGAAACUGACGGUACCUGACUAAGAAGCACCGGCUAAAUAC
rnacentral:rRNA from 1 species